AUUGCUUCUUGGCCUUUUGGCUAAGAUCAAGUAUAGAAUCAAAGAGAAAUAAGAAUGGUAUGUUUUUCUUUUAAUAUGUUUUUUAGAGAAUUCAAGGUGAGUUUCAAAUCUCU
rnacentral:snRNA from 1 species